GAUCAUGGCUCAGGAUGAACGCUGGCGGCGUGCUUAACACAUGCAAGUCGAACGAAGCACUCUAUUUGAUUUUCUUCGGAAAUGAAGAUUUUGUGACUGAGUGGCGGACGGGUGAGUAACGCGUGGGUAACCUGGCCUCAUACAGGGGGAUAACAGUUGGAAACGACUGCUAAUACCGCAUAAGCGCACAGGAUCGCAUGAUCCGGUGUGAAAAACUCCGGUGGUAUGGGAUGGACCCG
rnacentral:rRNA from 1 species